GUAUUUAAUAAAGUAGACUAUGAUUCGACUAUCAGUAAACACACAAUAAUACUAAGUAAAAGACCAUGGAAAUCUCCGAAAAACAGGAUUUUAUUAAAGUAAUAAUUCUAAGUUUAACCGUAACAUUAUGGUUUUACUGGCUGUGGACGAGAAAAAAUGUGUACCAAUUCUCAUCACGCUUCUCAGGACUAUUUGGGUGGCCGCUUUUCGGGAUAUUACAUCGCAUUAAAAGCCAACAUAAUGUUAUUCAAGAGUUAGGUAAAAUAUUCAAAGAUUGUAAGGCAUACACAAUUUGUACUUGGAUAGGCACAUAUCCAAUUAUUAUAACAGCAGAUCCCCCAUUCAUAAAAGAUGUACUAUCUUCAAAAGAGUUGCUCAAUAAGGCCCAGCCAUUAUACCAGCCACUCUAUGACGCAUUCAAAGGUGGUCUUAUUGCAAGUCCAGUGGAUCAAUGGCAUAAAAAUCGUCGUAUGAUAAAUCCAAGCUUUCAUCAGAGAGUACUGACCUCAUUUUUGCCCGUAUUUAAUAAGGCAAAAGAUGGAGCUAUUCAAAAAUUCAGUGAAUUGACAAGAAAUGAACCUGUCCUUAUUAGCGAACAGUUGCAAAGGAUCACUUUAAGUAUAACUGUUGAAACCACUAUGGGGAAAGAGAUGCAAAAAGGCGAUCAGGUGUCAGAGCAAUUAGUGAAAUCAUAUGUCAUUGUAAUAAAAAACUUUAGAAGCAUGGAAAAAGUACCAAUUGAAUGUCUCUUAGCAUAUGUGAAGCUGGAUCACUUGUACGCCUGGUUUACGAAAGCAUCGAAGGAGUUUGUGUACAAGUUUAUUGAAGGGCUUUUAUAUGGAAAACUCUUACAAGUGCCAACUACGGAAAAUAUCCGACUUGAUGUCAAUAUAUCCACAGAUAAUAAUGUAAACAAGAAUUAUUCAUAUGGAAAUCAAGCAUUUAAUGAGAAGGUACCAAGUAUUUUUAUUGACCAGGCUAUAAAUUUAUAUCGAGAAGGAAAAAUGUCGUAUCAUGAUCUCAUUGGCGAAACGAACACAAUCGUAUCUGCGGCUUUUGAGACGUCCGCCAAUGCACUAUUGUCAGCACUUUUGAUGUUAGCCAUGCAUCCUGCUGUACAGGAAAGAUUAUUCGAGGAAAUUAUAAACUUGUUCCCUGAUAAACAUUUUUACGUGGAAUGUGAAAAUAUUACAAAUCUGCCAUAUUUAGAUAUGGUUGUCAAUGAGACUUUACGCCUAAUGCCUUCUAUACCCAUGAUUGGCCGUCAGGUCGUACAAGAUACAACACUGAGUAGCGGUUUGGUGAUUCCGAAAGGAAUUGAAAUUUUAAUUUCAAUUUUCGAUUUGCAUCGAAGAACUGAUAUUUGGGGUGCAAAUGCUGAUAAGUUUAACCCAGAGAAUUUUAUGCGAGAGAAUCUGCAAGAAAAGCAUUCGUAUGCAUACAUACCAUUUUCGAAGGGAAUACGAGAUUGUAUAGGAUGGAAAUAUGCUCUUAUGGCAAUUAAAAUACUAUUGGCAGGCUUCAUCCGGAACUUUUCUUUUGAAACCAAUGUAAAAUUGGAAGAUUUGAAGUUUACGAAUAAUGUAACACUUAAAUACACCAAUGAGCCAGCAUUUACAAUAAAAAACCGGUAUAAAUAAGGCACUUGGUGACAAUGUAAAUAAAAUAAGUUAUACCAAUACCAGGAUAUGAGAGCGUCCUUCGAGAAAACAACAUUUGACUCAUAUUUACCACUAAAUAAAGUGGCAAUUAUGGUAGAUAACUAUAGAAUUCACUUCCCAAUUCAUGGAUUUUCAGUUCACAAGCUGAUCCCUUGCACUUUCCGUGUUCAGCAACAGGAAAUUAAAUACUCGUAAAAAAGGAUUCUGACAAAGAUUCAAUAUCAAAUGAUUUAGUGGAAAUGCUUAGACCAACAAAGGCUUGGGUAAAAAAGUUAACAGCUUUAGUUACAGGCAUUUCAGCAUUUAAUUGCGUUGUUUCAAAGCUUUGCACCCACUUCCAAAUAAGUUUUUUAUUUAUUAUUUUAUUUUUCACACUCAAUAUUAUGGAUCAUUUCUCAACGAAUUUGUUUUAAAAUUGUACAAUAUUUGAAAUUUUUGAGUGUAUUUACACUAUAUAUCGGUUUCCUAUAUAUAUUUGUCAAUUUAAGAAGUUAAAUUAGAGG